rnacentral:lncRNA from 1 species
UAGUGCCUAGAAUAGGCAAGAACUCCAGCCUGAAGGAUCUUCAUUUUAUUUAUUUAUUUAUUUAUUUAUUUAUUUAUUUAUUUAUUUAUUGUCUUACUCGGAGUGUAAGAUGCACUCACAUCAGGAACUCACAUAAACUAAAGUCCACUAGGCUGUCAGAGUCAUAAGGACCUAAAUGAAACAAAACAGAUUCGUUCUAAUACCCUGAGCUUGCCAAAAAAUGGCUGGGAGGAGCUAAUUUUGAAUACUAGGCGCUGACAUCUCUUAGAGUUUGUGCUUGAGGAGUUCCUAGAAUAAACCAAAAGGUUGGCUACCUAGAAAAAUGUAGCCACUCAGACAAAACCUGGUGAGUGGCAGUGGUUUAUAUGGUAUAAUCAGAUCAAAUUACUUAUUUAAACAAGUAAGUAUGAAUUAGCAUUUUCAGCUAAGAAUUCAGUAACAUACUUUAAGAUGGAGGUUGAUAAAUAAUAGCACAAACUGCAGCAUUUGAGGGAUAAGUCUAUAUUAUGGAAGUAGUCAUCAAUUUACUAUUCUUUAUAAAGGUUGUCUCCUUCCCCAUCUAACAAGCCAAUCUACAUUGACUACAGUCCUUCCAUCCUACUUUGUCACCCAGGUUUGAUCUGGACAUUGUGUUUCUCAAGGCUCAGUUAAUUGAGAGUUAAUUAGGAAUAUAAAAGUCUAAAUGCUAUCCUAAACACAUAGUUUACUAUCAUUUCUGGUUGUUUAGUCUAUCAUUUGGUCUCAGUUAAAUACUAGUGCAGUUCACCAGCAUCAUGUAAUGUCUGUCACAAUGAUUACCAUGAUAGUAAUAUUAUCAAUAACUGCUCUCUGUGUUCUUGCCAUCAUCACACUGCUCUCUGUGAAAUUCAAUUUGAUCUUCAUACCCUAUAUGACAUGUUCUUUCUAAAAUUUCCUUGAGAAUACCUUGGCUAGCUCAAGGUCACAGGAACAGUAGUAACUAUCAAUGCUGGAAUUUGAACUCAAAGCAUUGUAAUCUAUAUCUUUGGUUCUCUUACACUGCACACAGCUUUCACCAUUUUCCAGAAUCUCCUAAUGUACUCUUGUCUAUAUAAGAUAAGCAUUGCUUCUCAUCUUGUCCUAUUUUGUAUUAGAACUCCCAAAGUCAUGAAGUUUCCAAAAAUCAAAGUUUGUGAUUUUCAUAAGUCAACUGCCAUGCUUCAGAUAAAACAAUAACUAACUGUGUCUAAAAUUACCUGUUCCAUGAGCUGAGCAGUGGUGGCACAUGCCUUUAAUCCCAGCAUUUGGGAGACAGAGGCAGGCAGAUUUCUGAGUUCGAGGCCAGCCUGGUCUUCAGAGUGAGUUCUAGGACAGUCAGAGCUAUACAAAGAAACCCUGUCUCAAAAACAAAAAACAAAACAAACAAAAAAAAUAAAUAAAACAAACAAACUAAAAAAACAAAAAUUC